UACCGGUGGCGAAGGCGGCCUUCUGGACAGAUACUGACGCUGAGAUGCGAAAGCGUGGGGAGCAAACAGGAUUAGAUACCCUGGUAGUCCACGCUGUAAACGAUGUCGAUUUGGAGUUUGUUGCCUUGAGUGAUGGGCUCCGAAGCUAACGCGAUAAAUCGACCGCCUGGGGAGUACGGCCGCAAGGUUAAAACUCAAAUGAAUUGACGGGGGCCCGCACAAGCGGUGGAGCAUGUGGUUUAAUUCGAUGCAACGCGAAGAACCUUACCUGGUCUUGACAUCCAUAGAAUCUUGCAGAGAUGCGAGAGUGCCUUCGGGAGCUAUGAGACAGGUGCUGCAUGGCUGUCGUCAGCUCGUGUUGUGAAAUGUUGGGUUAAGUCCCGCAACGAGCGCAACCCUUAUCCUUUGUUGCCAGCGAUUCGGUCGGGAACUCAAAGGAGACUGCCGUUGAUAAAGCGGAGGAAGGUGGGGACGACGUCAAGUCAUCAUGGCCCUUACGACCAGGGCUACACACGUGCUACAAUGGCGUAUACAAAGGGAGGCGACCUCGCGAGAGCAAGCGGACCUCAUAAAGUACGUCUAAGUCCGGAUUGGAGUCUGCAACUCGACUCCAUGAAGUCGGAAUCGCUAGUAAUCGUGAAUCAGAAUGUCACGGUGAAUACGUUCCCGGGCCUUGUACACACCGCCCGUCACACCAUGGGAGUGGGUUGCACCAGAAGUAGAUAGCUUAACCUUCGGGAGGGCGUUUACCACGGUGUGGUCCAUGACUGGGGUGAAGUCGUAACAAGGUAACCGUAGGGGAACCUGCGGUUGGAUCACCUCCUUAC
rnacentral:rRNA from 1 species